AGUCAAUAGAUACCCGGUAGUCCACGCCCUAAACGAUGUCUACUAGUUGUUGGUGGAGUAAAAUCCAUGAGUAAACGCAGCUAAACGCGUGAAGUAGACCGCCUGGGGAGUACGGUCGCAAGAUUAAAACUCAAAGGAAUUGACGGGGGCCCGCACAAGCGGUGGAUUAUGUGGAUUAAAUUCGAUGCAACGCGAAAAACCUUACCUGGCCUUGACAUGCCACUAACGAAGCAGAGAUGCAUUAGGUGCCCGUAAGGGAAAGUGGACACAGGUGCUGCAUGGCUGUCGUCAGCUCGUGUUGUGAGAUGUUGGGUUAAGUCCCGCAACGAGCGCAACCCUUGCCAUUAAUUGCCAUCAUUUAGUUGGGCACUUUAAUGGGACUGCCGGUGACAAACCGGAGGAAGGUGGGGAUGACGUCAAGUCCUCAUGGCCCUUAUGGCCAGGGCUUCACACGUAAUACAAUGGUCGGUACAGAGAGUUGCCAACCCGCGAGGGGAGCUAAUCUCAGAAAGCCGAUCGUAGUCCGGAUUGUUCU
rnacentral:rRNA from 1 species